CCUAACACAUGCAAGUCGCACGGUCAGCAAUGGCAGUGGCGGACGGGUGAGUAACACGUAGGAAUCUAUCCUGGGGUGGGGGACAAACAGCGGGAAACUGCUGCUAAUACCGCAUGAUACCCGAGGGUCAAAGGCGCAAGUCGCCUUGGGAGGAGCCUGCGUCUGAUUAGCUUGUUGGUGGGGUAAAGGCCUACCAAGGCGACGAUCACUAGCUGGUCUGAGAGGAUGAUCAGCCACAUUGGGACUGAGACACGGCCCAAACUCCUACGGGAGGCCAAUGGGGAAUAUUGUCACAUGGGGAAACCCCUGAUCCACAUGCCCCGCUUGUGAACAAGUCUUCGGAAUUGAU
rnacentral:rRNA from 1 species